rnacentral:rRNA from 1 species
CACGUAGGGCGCAAGCGUUGUCCGGAAUUAUUGGGCGUAAAGAGCUCGUAGGCGGUCUGUUGCGUCCGCUGUGAAAACUCGGGGCUUAACCCCGAGCCUGCAGUGGAUACGGGCAGACUAGAGGUAGGUAGGGGAGAAUGGAAUUCCCGGUGUAGCGGUGAAAAUGCGCAGAUAUCGGGAGGAACACCGGUGGCGAAGGCGGUUCUCUGGGCCUUACCUGACGCUGAGGAGCGAAAGCGUGGGGAGCGAUCCGG